rnacentral:rRNA from 1 species
AUUGAACGCUAGCGGCAUGCCUUACACAUGCAAGUCGAACGGCAGCGGGGGAGCUUGCUCCCGCCGGCGAGUGGCGAACGGGUGAGUAAUACAUCGGAACGUACCCAGUAGCGGGGGAUAGCCCGGCGAAAGCCGGAUUAAUACCGCAUACGCCCUACGGGGGAAAGGGGGGGAUCGCAAGACCUCUCACUAUUGUAGCGGCCGAUGGCUGCUUAGCUAGUUGGUGGGGUAAAGGCCUACAAAGGCGACGAGCAGUAGCUGGUCUGAGAGGACGACCAGCCACACUGGGACUGAGACACGGCCCAGACUCCUACGGGAGGCAGCAGUGGGGAAUUUUGGACAAUGGGCGAAAGCCUGAUCCAGCAAUGCCGCGUGUGCGAAGAAGGCCUUCGGGUUGUGAGCACUUUUGUCAGGGAAGAAAUCGUUUGGGUUAAUACCCCGAGCAGUUGACGGUACCUGAAGAAUAAGCACCGGCUAACUACGUGCCAGCCGCCGCCGUAA